rnacentral:rRNA from 1 species
CAGAGGGGGCAAGCGUUAUUCGGAAUUAUUGGGCGUAAAGGGCGCGUAGGCGGCUUUUCAAGUGGCGGGUGAAAUCCCUCGGCUUAACCGAGGAACUGCCUGCCAGACUGAAUGGCUUGAGACCGGGAGAGGUGAGUGGAAUUCCCAGUGUAGCGGUGAAAUGCGUAGAUAUUGGGAGGAACACCAGUGGCGAAGGCGGCUCACUGGACCGGUACUGACGCUGAGGCGCGAAAGCGUGGGGAGCAAACAGGAUUAGAUACCCUGGUAGUCCACGCCGUAAACGAUGAGUGCUUGGUGUAGCGGGUAUCGACCCCUGCUGUGCCGACGUCAACACAUUAAGCACUCCGCCUGGGGAGUACGGUCGCAAGACUG